rnacentral:rRNA from 1 species
GCUGGGUGUGUAAGCGUUGUGAGGCGUUGAGCUAACCAGUACUAAUUGCACGUGAGGCUUGACCAUAUAA